CGGGUGUGCCCUCCUUGGGCGUUUCCUCCCUAGACUUCGGGCCGCUCGCGAGGGCGGCCUUUUUCUUUUCUGAGC
rnacentral:sRNA from 1 species